GACAAAUUAAGGUAUUGGCGUGCCUCAAUUUGAAUACAUGGCUGUCAUCAAAAACCAGCCAUGUACUUUGAUUGAGCCGCGUCAAUAUCUUAUUUUGCACU
rfam:Cajanus cajan Scaffold135520_7, whole genome shotgun sequence.